GGCCCAAUGGUCUAGUAGUAUGAUACGUGCUUCGGGUGUUCAGUCACUCGCUCCUUUCUGGAGCUUCGUUGCACGGGGUCCCGGGUUCAAUUCCCGGUUGGGCCC
rnacentral:tRNA from 1 species